UGUUGUGCAUGCAGCAAUGCAGUUACCCAAGCUCCAUUCAUUUAUAACUGCUAAUAAAUCAUUUUUUAAAUUUUCUGAUGUAUGUGAUUCAGAGUUUUUAAAACAAGAAAGAAGAUAUGAUUUUGAUUGACAUUCUUUAUCUAUAAAAUGGUAAUAAUGAUUUUGAAAGAGUUUUUUUCGAUGGAAGUGUGUAUCCAGGAUUAAGUAAUUUUAAAAGUUUGACGAACUCUUCGUCUUCAACGAUACUGAAAGGAUAGUAUCCUUGACAAUCAUUUUUAGAACUUGUUGAUCAGUCGUUUUACGACGUGAGGAACCCAAUGGCUUUGAAAAGUAUUGAGAAAUUGAAUUAUUUACAAAUAUAGAAUUUUGAGAAUGACUAAUAACUGAAUGUUCAUUGAUAAAGAAGAUUGAAAUGGAAUUUCUGAAGACACGGCAGUUUGGCAAUUUAUGGGAUUAGAUUUUGAAACAGUUGUACUCUAAAAAUAUAUAUGUUUACAUUUAGUAGUAUAAAUAUUUACUUAUUUUUCUACUGUAUGUAUAAAUUAAUUAAUAAUAAUCAAAUAUUAAAUAUGAGAA